CAAGUAGAGAAUCUAUAAACACUCCCACUGGACAUAUUCCAUCUUCAACACAUCUAGUUACUUCUUUAAUACUUUGAUUACUUUUUUUUUUCCUACUUAUUCUUGUCGUCAUAUUUUAACACAGGUCAAAGCAAUAAUUAUUGAGGAUAGAAUAGUGGUAUAUACAUAUUCAAAUUUGAAUAGAAAACCAGUUGUUCUAUCAUUCAAAGGGUACUCACCGAGAUCAAAUUUUUUUAUAUACUAACAUAUAUUAUAAGUUUAGGAUUCAUAUAAAACAUGUUCUUAUCUUAAGAUUCUUGUUUAUGAAAUUCUUUGCUUUUUCACUUCCUUGAUUUCCGGACCAUAUUAAUUUCCAACAACGAUUAACUUCAAAUAUUCAUGAAGCGAGUCUCUUCUAAAUCACACAUAUUUCCAUAAAAAAAAUACAAGUCAUUCACAACAGGUAGAGAGCAUAUAUAAUAAAACGAAGAACAUACACUGAAAUCCCCAUAUAAAUCAGCUUUAGGGUUGAAAGCAGUAAUGAUUAUCAAGGUUCAUAAUAUUCAAUUAAACACUCACGAGGGAGCUGGCCGUCCCAAAAUAACUUGAAUAAGUUGGCAGCAUGUUGGGGACAGCGAUUAGGAUCAAUGCGACAUAUUUCGAGCUGAGUUAAGGUUUGAUUACCCUUGAACCAAAUAUUCAAGGCUUCUACAUAAUCAGGGCUCAACCUACCAAUACCCCUAUAAGCGUCCUCUACCGAUUCGAUGCCGUAUCUACAAGCGUUGCCAACCUGCCAGUUGAUAUCCGACAAGAAGUCCUCCUCGCUGGGGCUAUCGGGCCAGAAGUCUUCACGUUCAACACGUGCGUAAUGCCUUAAGCAAUCCAAAUAAAAUUCUGUACCAGAUUUAAACUCAAAAUUAAAUGAUGGAUCGGAAUUGAAAUCUGAAGCAUCGCCAUCGCCAUGGUCAUGGCCGCCGAAAGACAGCAAUGAGAAGACGACGAAUGCGGCGAUCAGCAAUGAGAAAACCACCACGAAUGCGGCGAUCACGUUAAACCCCUUCAUUCCCAUGCCCUAACUACCGAUGCUUUUCUUUGGACUAAGUUUUUCUUUUUAUUCGUCUUCU